CGGUAAAAGCUCAAAUUUGAAAUCUGGCUCUUUUAGAGUCCGAAUUGUAAUUUGUAGAAGAUGCUUCGGGUGUGGUUCCGGUCUAAGUUCCUUGGAACAGAAUGUCAAAGAGGGUGAGAAUCCCGUCUUGGACCGGCGGUAGGGCCUGUGUAAAACUCCUUCGAC
rnacentral:rRNA from 1 species